ACUAUCAGAGCCAGAAUUACACUCCUAGCAGGGAUCCGUCAACUGUACUGGGUAAAAAUGCUUAUUAGGUGUAGAAAAUUGCCUAGAGAGGAACUUGGAUCGCCGGUCAUGGGAUUUUGAUGUAUAGCUAAAACGGAUGGACCUGCCGGAUGCUUUAUUUGCUGCUCUUAAACUUCCAAUUACAUUUACUUUGUCUGGA